AAUAUAUUUGAGAGGCAUCUCUUGAAUAUCAAAGGUGAGCCAGUACAGGAUGGACCCGCGUCUGAUUAGCUAGUUGGUAAGGUAACGGCUUACCAAGGCGACGAUCAGUAGCCGACCUGAGAGGGUGAUCGGCCACAUUGGAACUGAGACACGGUCCAAACUCCUACGGGAGGCAGCAGUGGGGAAUAUUGCACAAUGGGCGAAAGCCUGAUGCAGCAACGCCGCGUGAGUGAUGAAGGCCUUCGGGUCGUAAAACUCUGUCCUCAAGGAAGAUAAUGACGGUACUUGAGGAGGAAGCCCCGGCUAACUACGUGCCAGCAGCCGCGGUAAUACGUAGGGGGCUAGCGUUAUCCGGAUUUACUGGGCGUAAAGGGUGCGUAGGCGGUCUUUCAAGUCAGGAGUGAAAGGCUACGGCUCAACCGUAGUAAGCUCUUGAAACUGGGAGACUUGAGUGCAGGAGAGGAGAGUGGAAUUCCUAGUGUAGCGGUGAAAUGCGUAGAUAUUAGGAGGAACACCAGUUGCGAAGGCGGCUCUCUGGACUGUAACUGACGCUGAGGCACGAAAGCGUGGGGAGCAAACAGGAUUAGAUACCCUGGUAGUCCACGCUGUAAACGAUGAGUAC
rnacentral:rRNA from 1 species